rfam:Otolemur garnettii contig108346, whole genome shotgun sequence.
GCCUGUGUCUGUAGUCCUGGCUACUUGGGAGGCUGAGACAGGAGGAUCACUUGAGUCCAGGAGUUCUGGGCUAUAGUGCACUAUGCUGAUCUGGUGUCUGCACUAAGUUCGGCAUCAAUAUGGUGACCUCCUGGGAGCAAGGGACCACCAGGUUGCCUAAGGAGGGGUGAAGUGGCCCAGGUCAGAAAUGGAGCAGGUCAAAACUCCCAUGGUGAUCAGUAGUGGUAUCACACCUGUGAAUAGCCACUGCACUCCAACCUGGGCAACAAGGCAAGACUCAUCUCCA